rnacentral:rRNA from 1 species
GUGUCAGCAGCCGCGGUAAUACGGAGGGUGCAAGCGUUGUCCGGAUUUAUUGGGUUUAAAGGGUGCGUAGGUGGCUAUUUAAGUCAGUGGUGAAAGCCUGCAGCUUAACUGUAGGACUGCCAUUGAUACUGAAUAGCUUGAGUACUGAUGAGGUAGGCGGAAUUGAUAGUGUAGCGGUGAAAUGCAUAGAUAUUAUCAAGAACACCGAUUGCGAAGGCAGCUUACUAAGGAGUUACUGACACUGAGGCACGAAAGCGUGGGGAUCAAACAGGAUUAGAUACCCCGGUAGUCC